rnacentral:lncRNA from 1 species
UUUUAUUUGGGGAUUCUUUGAGCAGAGGAACUCUUUUCCCUUCGAAAAUAUAGGGAUUGGCCUCAUAAAUUUCGGUGUUUAUACUACUUUUUUCUUAAUUUUAGAUUUAUGAGCGAAUUCUUAUGGAUUUUUCUUCUAGAUCUUAGUGGCGAUGUAUAAGAUAUUUUAAUUAAUAAGAUGGGACGUUUCUUCAUUGAUUUUGUACACUUGUACAAUUAUAAAUUCUAGUUUACUUUUAU